rnacentral:rRNA from 1 species
AUUGAACGCUGGCGGCAUGCCUUACACAUGCAAGUCGAACGGUAACAGGUUAAGCUGACGAGUGGCGAACGGGUGAGUAAUGUAUCGGAACGUGCCCAGUCGUGGGGGGAUAACUGCUCGAAAGAGCAGCUAAUACCGCAUACGACCUGAGGGUGAAAGCGGGGGAUCGCAAGACCUCGCGCGAUUGGAGCGGCCGAUAUCAGAUUAGGUAGUUGGUGGGGUAAAGGCCUACCAAGCCUACGAUCUGUAGCUGGUCUGAGAGGACGACCAGCCACACUGGAACUGAGACACGGUCCAGACUCCUACGGGAGGCAGCAGUGGGGGAAUAUUGGACAAUGGGGGGCAACCCUGAUCCAGCCAUGCCGCGUGAGUGAAGAAGGCCUCGGGUUGUAAAGCUCUUUAAGUCGGGGAGGAAGGUCGUACGGUUAAUAACCGUAGCGAUGACGUUACCUGCAGAAUAAG